rnacentral:rRNA from 1 species
GACAGAGGGUGCAAACGUUGUUCGGAAUUACUGGGCGUAAAGCGCGUGUAGGCGGCCAAGCAGGUCGGAUGUGAAAUCCCUCGGCUCAACCAAGGAAGUGCAUUCGAAACCGCAUGGCUGGAGUCCCGGAGAGGAAGGUGGAAUUCUCGGUGUAGAGGUGAAAUUCGUAGAUAUCGAGAGGAACACCGGCGGCGAAAGCGGCCUUCUGGACGAGGACUGACGCUGAGACGCGAAAGCGUGGGGAGCAAGCAGG